AGUGGUGAAGAGCAAUAGCUCCGUGGUAGAGCAUUUGCCUUUGCAUGCAGAUGAUCCCAAGUCCAAUCCUUGGCACCUCCG